UUUAAUUAGUACAGCCUGUAUUAGUAAUGUCAUCUAUUCUUUACAGGCUAUGCUAAUCUAUGC
ensembl:miRNA oni-mir-2187b oni-mir-2187b